rnacentral:rRNA from 1 species
CCUACGGGAGGCAGCAGUGGGGAAUAUUGGACAAUGGGGGCAACCCUGAUCCAGCAAUGCCGCGUGUGUGAAGAAGGUCUUCGGAUUGUAAAGCACUUUCGACGGGGACGAUGAUGACGGUACCCGUAGAAGAAGCCCCGGCUAACUUCGUGCCAGCAGCCGCGGUAAUACGAAGGGGGCUAGCGUUGCUCGGAAUGACUGGGCGUAAAGGGUGCGUAGGCGGCGAGAUAAGUCAGGCGUGAAGUUCCUGGGCUCAACCUGGGGACUGCGUUUGAGACUGUUUGGCUAGAGGAUGGAAGAGGCUCGUGGAAUUCCCAGUGUAGAGGUGAAAUUCGUAGAUAUUGGGAAGAACACCGGUGGCGAAGGCGGCGAGCUGGUCCAUUACUGACGCUGAGGCACGAUAGCGUGGGGAGCAAACAGGAUUAGAUACCCUGGUAGUCCACGCCGUAAACGAUGUGUGCUGGAUGUUGGGGUUCAUAGAACCUCAGUGUCGUAGCUAACGCGAUAAGCACACCGCCUGGGGAGUACGGCCGCAAGGUUGAAACUUAAGGAAUUGACGG